AUUGAACGCUGGCGGCAUGCCUUACACAUGCAAGUCGAACGGCAGCAUGAUCUAGCUUGCUAGAUUGAUGGCGAGUGGCGAACGGGUGAGUAAUACAUCGGAACGUGCCCUGUAGUGGGGGAUAACUAGUCGAAAGAUUAGCUAAUACCGCAUACGACCUGAGGGUGAAAGUGGGGGACCGCAAGGCCUCAUGCUAUAGGAGCGGCCGAUGUCUGAUUAGCUAGUUGGUGAGGUAAAGGCUCACCAAGGCGACGAUCAGUAGCUGGUCUGAGAGGACGAUCAGCCACACUGGGACUGAGACACGGCUCAGACUCCUACGGGAGGCAGCAGUGGGGAAUUUUGGACAAUGGGGGCAACCCUGAUCCAGCAAUGCCGCGUGUGUGAAGAAGGCCUUCGGGUUGUAAAGCACUUUUGUCCGGAAAGAAAUCGCACUUACUAAUAUUAGGUGUGGAUGACGGUACCGGAAGAAUAAGGACCGGCUAACUACGUGCCAGCAGCCGCGGUAAUACGUAGGGUCCAAGCGUUAAUCGGAAUUACUGGGCGUAAAGCGUGCGCAGGCGGUUGUGCAAGACCGAUGUGAAAUCCCCGGGCUUAACCUGGGAAUUGCAUUGGUGACUGCACGGCUAGAGUGUGUCAGAGGGGGGUAGAAUUCCACGUGUAGCAGUGAAAUGCGUAGAGAUGUGGAGGAAUACCGAUGGCGAAGGCAGCCCCCUGGGAUAACACUGACGCUCAUGCACGAAAGCGUGGGGAGCAAACAGGAUUAGAUACCCUGGUAGUCCACGCCCUAAACGAUGUCAACUAGUUGUUGGGGAUUCAUUUCCUUAGUAACGUAGCUAACGCGUGAAGUUGACCGCCUGGGGAGUACGGUCGCAAGAUUAAAACUCAAAGGAAUUGACGGGGACCCGCACAAGCGGUGGAUGAUGUGGAUUAAUUCGAUGCAACGCGAAAAACCUUACCUACCCUUGACAUGCCACUAACGAAGCAGAGAUGCAUUAGGUGCUCGAAAGAGAAAGUGGACACAGGUGCUGCAUGGCUGUCGUCAGCUCGUGUCGUGAGAUGUUGGGUUAAGUCCCGCAACGAGUGCAACCCUUGUCUCUAGUUGCUACGAAAGGGCACUCUAGAGAGACUGCCGGUGACAAACCGGAGGAAGGUGGGGAUGACGUCAAGUCCUCAUGGCCUUUAUGGGUAGGGCUUCACACGUCAUACAAUGGUGCAUACAGAGGGUUGCCAAGCCGCGAGGUGGAGCUAAUCCCAGAAAAUGCAUCGUAGUCCGGAUCGUAGUCUGCAACUCGACUACGUGAAGCUGGAAUCGCUAGUAAUCGCGGAUCAGCAUGCCGCGGUGAAUACGUUCCCGGGUCU
rnacentral:rRNA from 1 species